rnacentral:rRNA from 1 species
GACGAACGCUGGCGGCGUGCUUAACACAUGCAAGUCGAACGGAAAGGCCCUGCUUGCAGGGUACUCGAGUGGCGAACGGGUGAGUAACACGUGGGUGAUCUGCCCUGCAUUUCGGGAUAAGCCUGGGAAACUGGGUCUAAUACCGGAUAGGAGCCAUUUUUAGUGUGAUGGUUGGAAAGUUUUUUCGGUGUAGGAUGAGCUCGCGGCCUAUCAGCUUGUUGGUGGGGUAAUGGCCUACCAAGGCGGCGACGGGUAGCCGGCCUGAGAGGGUGGACGGCCACAUUGGGACUGAGAUACGGCCCAGACUCCUACGGGAGGCAGCAGUGGGGAAUAUUGCACAAUGGGCGCAAGCCUGAUGCAGCGACGCCGCGUGGGGGAUGACGGCCUUCGGGUUGUAAACUCCUUUCGCUAGGGACGAAGCUUUUUGUGACGGUACCUAGAUAAGAAGCACCGGCUAACUACGUG